CCUCCUUUCUAAGGAAAUCGAAAUUUUUAUUUCGAUUUAAAAAAAAUCGAUAAUGUGACCGUCCUCAUUUCUCCUCUUUUAAUGUCUCUGAGUAAGUGUAAAAGGGGCCGGUAGCUCAGGUGGUUAGAGCGCACCCCUGAUAAGGGUGAGGUCGGAAGUUCGAGUCUUCCUCGGCCCACCAAUAUUACGGGGGAUUAGCUCAGCUGGGAGAGCGCCUGAUUUGCAUUCAGGAGGUCAGCGGUUCGAUCCCGCUAUCCUCCACCAAAAUUUGAGACAUUNAGCUUUUCUUAAAUUGUAAAUAUUAUUAAUAUCCAAUAUCUAUAUCCGAUUUGUUUUUCAGAUAUUUUUCUUGAAAACAAUCAAAACCAAAAAAUUUAAUUUUAUUUACAGAAAAAAGUUUUUUUUUCCUGUGCCAUAAAAUCAAACCCGUUUUAAAGGGCCGAAUUUGGGCGGGAAUUCCCCUUGGGCCACCUUGGUUAAAGAACGAAUUGAAAGGGACCGGUUGNGUUAUUACCUGGCCGAAUUAAAGGUUUCCCGGGGGUAAACCCCGUUNUUGCCCGGGGC
rnacentral:tRNA from 1 species